AUGAAUGGAAACGGGGCGGGCGUGAGCUCCGCUUUCUUCCUCACUCCCUGAUUGGCUGUAGGGAAGUCAGGAGCAAUUUCACGUUAAAGGGAUAGCGGCACAGAAUUUGACGGAGAGCGAGUUUGCUCAGAGAGGCAAUGAUGGCCGCUAAGUUGGAUGGCUUGAAAAGUGCAUUGGGAAAAUACAUGGAGGAGAGGAACUCUUUUUAAUAGCUCCUAGACAUCAUGGGAGCUGUAUCAAGUGCAAAGGAAGUGGAGAAAGAUGCUUGUGGAGCUUAAAGCUGUAACAAGAGUGGGAUAUUUGUUUCUGUGCUACUGGUGUUAAAUUGAUGGCUUAUCCCUGGGAGUCGAAAGCAGAAACAUUUAUCUCAACAAUUACAUCUGUGGGUGGCUAAAAACUUGAUGACUUAAAGAAGAAGCAUGAAUCCCUUUGAAUAUGCUUGAUAGUGAAAGAUUCUGCGUGUUUCUUUUCUUUUUAUAUUUCAUUCUCAUUCCCGUACUUCUACCUGUUAACUUACUCUGAUAAAGACUCUGGGCAUAUUGCCAGUACAAGAGGUUUGGGCACUCUUCCAGCAUGUAUAUCAAUCUACCACAAUUCUGUUUUAAUGAAUUAUUUUCAUGGUUUUAAUAGAUUUUUAUGUGUAUACAUUCAGUUUUAAUUAUACAGAUGUCUAAUUGUUUUUUUUAUUAUUAUUCCCCUCCCCCACGUUUUUAGCUUUCUUAUUUUUAUCUGUAAGCC